rnacentral:rRNA from 1 species
CCUACGGGGUGCAGCAGUCGGGAAUAUUGCGCAAUGGAGGAAACUCUGACGCAGUGACGCCGCGUGCAGGAAGAAGGUUUUCGGAUUGUAAACUGCUUUAGACAGGGAAGAAAAAAGACAGUACCUGUAGAAUAUGCUCCGGCUAACUACGUGCCAGCAGCCGCGGUAAUACGUAGGGAGCAAGCGUUAUCCGGAUUUAUUGGGUGUAAAGGGUGCGUAGACGGAGAAGCAAGUUAGUUGUGAAAUGCCUGGGUUUAACUGAGGAACUGCAACUAAAAUUACUUCCCUUGAGUGCUGGAGAGGAAAGUGGAAUGUCUAGUGUAGCGGUGAAAUGCGUAGAUAUUAGGAAGAACACCAGUGGCGAAGGCGACUUUCUGGACAGUAACUGACGUUGAGGCACGAAAGUGUGGGGAGCAAACAGGAUUAGAUACCCGGGUAGUC